rnacentral:rRNA from 1 species
GACGAACGCUGGCGGCGUGCUUAACACAUGCAAGUCGAACGAAGAGCGAUGGAAGCUUGCUUCUAUCAAUCUUAGUGGCGCACGGGUGAGUAACGCGUAAUCAACCUGCCCUUCAGAGGGGGACAACAGUUGGAAACGACUGCUAAUACCGCAUACGAUCUAAUCUCGGCAUCGAGGAUAGAUGAAAGGUGGCCUCUACAUGUAAGCUAUCACUGAAGGAGGGGAUUGCGUCUGAUUAGCUAGUUGGAGGGGUAACGGCCCACCAAGGCGAUGAUCAGUAGCCGGUCUGAGAGGAUGAACGGCCACAUUGGGACUGAGACACGGCCCAGACUCCUACGGGAGGCAGCAGUGGGGAAUCUUCCGCAAUGGACGAAAGGCUGACGGAGCAACGCCGCGUGAGUGAUGACGGCCUUCGGGUUGUAAAGCUCUGUUAAUCGGGACGAAAGGCCUUCUUGCGAAUAGUGAGAAGGAUUGACGGUACCGGAAGAGAAAGCCACGGCUAACUACGUG